AUGACACAAACGAUGGGGCAUUCACGCAGGAGAGCAGCCCACAGGGUGGCCAGGCGAGGGCGGCUGCCAGGCGAGGGGCAUCCAGAAGGGCAACUGUGGGGCCCCAGGGGGAGGGUGCAGAUGGGCACCGGGCCAGAGCUCAGGCAGAGCCUGGGGCACAGAUGGCGCAGGAGUUGCCAACAGAGAUGGUGUCAGGUGAGGGGGUCGGGGGGUGAGCACAGAGACCAAGAGGAGGUGGCCUCUUGUCCAUCUGGGGGUGCAGCAGGGGGUCCUGGCUGGGGAAUAAGUCCCACAGGGCCUGGGGGGUGCUGUGCCCAGAGGAGAGGAAACAGGAAGCGAUGGGUGUGGGUGCCAGGUUUGGGGAAGAGGCCCCUUUCCCACAGCCUUCGACCUGCCAGCCCCAUGGGAUCUGGCCAGCCACUCCAGUCCUGGCCACCGGACCCCUUCCCCCACCCACCCGCCAUCCUGCCUGCAGGCCUGGCCUCGCCUGCCCCACGGGGCGGGGACCUGGGGGCUCUCAGAGGCACGGCCCCAACCCCGUGCAGGGCCUGCAGGUUGAACCCUGUGCAGGAACCCGGGGAACUCAGUGAAGGUGCUGGGUGGGGGACAGGAUGGCCUCUGACUUCCCUGUGCAGCAGGCGGAGGCUUGUGGUUGGCAGAGAGUGGGUGGAAGACGGAGGUUUGAGGAGAGAGAGAAACGGGGGAGAAAACCAGCCGCAGACGCAGGAGGGGUCUGGGGCAGCCCAAGGCCAGAGAUGGGCGUCUUCCUUACAGCCCGCUGUGGUCCCGGCACCUUGGGCUGCUGUGAGUGGUGCGUGGCGCUCCCAUUGUGCGCCCCGGAGACGGUUCCCCACUUCCACAACAUCAGUGGAGAGGGGAGCCGUCUGCCAGGCACAGGGGCCUGGACAGCCGUGGGCAGCGCAUGCUGAUGGAGGACGCAGAGAGAGGGAAGGCUGGCCCGGGGACGCUGUGUGCAGCAGUAGGUGCAGCUGCAGGGCUGGACCACACCAGCCACGGCGGCCGGAGGGUCCAGGCUGUGCCAGGCCCUCAGCAAAACCUUCCAUGAGGCUUCAUGUGUUUCUUCUUAAUUAA
rnacentral:lncRNA from 1 species